GAGAGAGAUCGGAGCCGCCAUCCUACGGAGGAAACGACGAGACGUCGUCGUCGUCGUCGUCGCCGUCGUCGUCGUCGCCGUCGUCGUCGUCGUCGUCGUCGUUGUUUCCAAAACUUUUGGUUUGUUCGUCGUCUUGUGACACACCUUCUUACGCGAGUGUACUUUUUUUUCGUUGCAAAGUAAGAUAUUUCGCGACAUAUAUUCUUCUUCUUCUUCUCUAAGAAAGAGGGGUGUAGGAGGGUGAAGAAGAGUGAAGGAGGGUGAAGGAGGGUGAAGGUCUUUGUCGAGGACAAAAGAGAGGGAAAGUAAAUUUAGGAGAAUGUGAACAUUAUAUUGGUAGAUAGAUGUUUUUUGAUAAAGGGAGAAAGUGUGAUUCUAUUGACAUAGAGAUAUAGGAAGAACAAUAUAUGGAGUUGGAGCGAAAGAAGGAGAACCGGCGUGCGUAAGCACGCUUUGAAGAAAUUCAAAGGGGUGGCCAAGGCGCUCUCGGAGUCGGCGAUAAAAGGGGGCGGCGGGGCCAAAGCUGUCACUUCGAUCGCCAUUUUAGCAGCGAGGCGGUGAGAUCCCCCGACAAAUCGAAGCAUCCUGCUACCGGACCUAGUCACCACUGGACCCGUUGUCAAAGAAUACGACGAAACAAGGACCGAAGGAAGAAUAGGAACGAACCCGGCCGGUACGAAAGCAGAAUCUUGGUUCAAGGAGAAUCCGGCGAAGAGAGAUAGAGGGAAAAUCUUCCUUUUCUUUUCUCGAUUUUUUUCUUCAAGAAGAGAGAAGAAGAAACGACGAGGAAUUGACGACUCGCGAUGCUUCUGCGCGU